rnacentral:tRNA from 1 species
UGGGUUGUGGCCAAAGGGUAAGGCACCAGUUUUUGGAGUUGGGGAUUGUAGGUUCGAAUCCUUCCAGCCCAG